rnacentral:rRNA from 1 species
GGUGCGUAGGCGGCUUGUUAAGUCAGAGGUGAAAGGCGGUAGCUUAACUAUCGGAGUGCCUUUGAUACUGAUGAGCUUGAAUGCAGCUGAGGUAGGCGGAAUGUGACAAGUAGCGGUGAAAUGCAUAGAUAUGUCACAGAACACCGAUUGCGAAGGCAGCUUAACUAAAGUGUGAUUGACGCUGAGGCAACGAAAGCGGUGGGGAUACAAACAGGAUUAGAUACCCCGGU